rnacentral:snRNA from 1 species
GUACUCACUUUGGCAGCACAUAUACUAAAAAUUGGAAUGAUACAGAGAAGAUUAGCAUAGCCCUUGUACAAGGAUGACUCACAAAUUCAUGAAGUAUGUCAUAUUUUU